rnacentral:rRNA from 1 species
GAGUCGGCCGCGCCCAAGUCCAUUGGAACAUGGCGCCUGGGAGGGUGAGAGCCCCGUAUGGCGCACGCCGACUCUUUGCACCGCGGCUCCGACGAGUCGAGUUGUUUGGGAAUGCAGCUCUAAGUGGGUGGUAAAUUCCAUCUAAAGCUAAAUAUUGGCGAGAGACCGAUAGCGAACAAGUACAGUGAUGGAAAGAUGAAAAGCACUUUGAAAAGAGAGUGAAACAGCACGUGAAAUUGUUGAAAGGGAAGGGCUUGCAAGCAGACACGGUUUUACCGGGCCAGCGUCGAAAAGGGGGGAGGAACAAGAACUCGAGAAUGUGGCGCGCACCUUCGGGCGCGCGUGUUAUAGCUCGUGUUGACGCCUCCAUCCCUUUUCGAGGCCUGCGAUUCUAGGACGCUGGCGU